rnacentral:piRNA from 1 species
UAUAAGUAUUGCUUUUGUUUU